UACGAAGGGGGCUAGCGUUGUUCGGAUUUACUGGGCGUAAAGCGCACGUAGGCGGAUAUUUAAGUCAGUGGUGAAAUCUUCGAGCUUAACUCGGAAAUUGCCAUUGAUACUGUAGGGCUUGAGUAUAGUUGCCGUUGGCGGAAUAUGACAUGUAGUGGUGAAAUACAUAGAGAUGUCAUAGAACACCGAUUGCGAAGGCAGCUGACGAAACUAUAACUGACACUGGAGGCUCGAAAAGUGCGGGGAUCAAACAGG
rnacentral:rRNA from 1 species